AGCAGUAUGGUGUAAUGCCGCACACGAGAUUUUCUUAAGCCUGGACUACUACGGAAUCUAUUCCCGAGAUCCUUGUUCGAAUCAAGGUACUGCUA